CCUGAAACAGAUGGUCGUUACGUUGUGGAGUCAA
rnacentral:sRNA from 1 species